ACAUUUCACUCCUUUUCCUGUUAAAGGGGCAUUACCCAAACUAUCCACAUUGCUGUUUGAUUAGCUGUAGCGGAUAAGAAUAAUUAUUACUGCAACUUCUUUCUUUUCCCACAGCACUAUCCCAGCCACUGAAGAGCUUCUGUGGUGAUGGCACACCUCUUAUGCCAAAAUUGCAGUGAAAAUAUCAGCAGUAUGUAGUAGGGCGAGCCAAACACAACAAGCUGUCCCCUUUACCUGAAUAGUUGCACUAAAGUGCACUACCCAACAAGGAUCUGCUGUCUCUGAAAGAGCAGCCAGUCCUAGUAUUCAGCUUUAAACUGCCUGGAGUAUAUUGGCCACAAUGACCUAAUGGAUCCUUCUUUCUUCAGGGAAACAAACAUUAAUUGAGUAUGUUUCUCUGAAGAGGAAAUUAGAGGACACAGAAGCGGAAAGAGUUUCUAAGGACAGGAUUGCUUCUGUCUCCAUCCUUUCACACAUUGGGGGAGGACUUUGCACCAGUCAAAUCAAUGAAUGGUUUGAAAGAGUAUGGAGAGAAAGUACUCCCCACGCCUGUGGCCAGAUUGGGGAGGAGCUACCAGCAUAUAUUUUAAAAGUCACUGAUUGGAAAGGUGGGGUCCCAGACCAGCAGAAUUGGAGAACAUUUGCAAUCCAAGCAAAGCCAAAGUGUGCAAGUGAAUGAGACGUGAAAGGGACUAUCGGCAGAUUCAUCUAGUUUUAUUAUUCAAGCUCUGUGGAAAUGCAGAAAGAGAGACCAAAUAGGCUUAGAAGAGUCCAGGUAUCUGUAAACACAGAGGAAGGUGGAGGAUGUGCUUGCAUAAACUUUCUGAAGGAUUAUGUUGAGCAUACUGCCUAUUAGGUGAAGAAAGCCUGACCCACAUCAUCUGAAUAAGAUACAAACGUAGAUACAAAAGCAUCAUUGUUUAGCCUGCUUAUUCCAUUUGAAAUAGCACCAGGAACGUGGACAAUUAUUUCUGCUAGGAGAGGAACCAUUUUCAGUAUGUUUCAAGUGUUCUUUGAAAAUACAUCCAUAACAUUUAUCACAAUUUAUGCACAGCCAGCCAAAGCUCUUGCUGAAUAUACAAUUACUUUAAAAACAUCUACCAUGGCAAACGGUGGCACCAAUGUCCAGUGGAACCAGACCCUCCCAGAGCUUCAUCCCAUGGUCAACUAAAACUCCAUAUCCAGUCACCCACUAUACUUCCUAGCAGCUCUGCCCUUCCUCACUCCCAUACAAAGGGAAGUUAAUUCCACAUUUUAAGACCUCCCACUGAAAAUAACCAGCCUCCAUGCCCCUGUUUGUAAACUAUGAAGAUGAUAACUUGAGUGUCUCAGAUGAUCUCAGCUGUUGUGGUACCACCCAAAGAGAAAGGAAAUAGCCAGAGAGGAGGUAUUCAUUUCUUUCACUCUGAACUCAUCAUGGUAGUUAAUGACUGAGAAAAAAGGGGAUUUAAUUUGCAUGUCUAGUGCAGAAUAUUAUACCAGAAUUAGACCUCUGAAGAUGCUGUAACAUGGCACAAAGCCUUGAUAAAUCAACCUAAAUUUGAACAAAAGAUGCUGAUAGGUUUGCGAUUGCCAAAGGUUUUAGUAUUAACUAAAGAACAGAAUAAAGAAAAUUGGAAAGGUAACUACCAGAAUAAAUGUAAACCCAACUAAACUAACCCCUCAACGUAAUGACUUUCUAUUUCCUUUUAAAGUGCUAAAGAACAGGCUGCAUUCUGAUUUUUAAACUUAUUUGCAAUAAAGUAAAGUUCUUCUAGAAUCACUCUAAGUGAUGAAUCAGUUAUUCACUGGUUACUUAUAUCUUUAAUAAAAAUGUUACUGUAUGUUUGAUGUGUAUAUAUAUAUAAGUUUUGCCUUACUAUAACAUAUAUGCAAAAUAAUAAUACUAAAAAUAGCUUGCAUUUACCAGUAUUUACUGCCUUUCAUCUCCAAGGAUCCCAAAGCACAUUACAGAUUAUAGGGAUCACCAACCCCAGAAAUUCAAAUACUCUUGGUAUGAAACAGCACUUGGCAGUUCAGGACUGGAUGUGACAAAACCUAUAUCCAAUUGAAGCUGAAGGAGAAGUUUAGGUAGCCAGGAUUUAAUUAUCUGAAUGAGAUUUGGGAAUGGCUAGAGCUGCUACUCUUACACAGAAUGCAAUGGCAUCUUUACCAAAGUCAUUGUCAAGACAAAUCUGGACACUGAUUUUAUGUCUCAUCCAAAAGGACAAGAAGUGCAGCAGCACAGUGCCCCCAUUAAUUAAGGGUGCCAGCAGCAGGGCCAGCUCUAGGUUUUUUGCCGCCCCGAGCAAAAUAAAUAAAUAAACCUCUGAGAGCGCCCGGAAUGCUGCUCCUGAAAUUGUGCCGCCCCAAGCACGUGCUUGGUUUGCUGGUGCCUAGAGCCGGUCCUGGCCAGCAGCUCAUUCACUACCAUCACUUCCUGCUGCAAAUACAUGUUUCCUGGAGGUUUACUAUUCUAGUAUUGCCCUUUCCCACCUUAGUAAAAACCAAGAGAAUCUACAGCACAAAGCAGUACCUGGUCAUAAUUUUUUCAUAAGAAAGACAUAGGUUUGCGAUUGCCAAAAAACAGAUGAUUGUAUUUAGUGUUGGAUUUGCUACUAUAAGUAUUUUCUCGAGGUGUUAGCAUGGCCUAACAUGCUACCUGACCACCACCAUGUAGUCUUUGUAGUUCUUUGCAGAAGCUCAGAAGAAGCAGGCUGUUAUCACCAACUGAGGGCACUGGUGCUCUAGUUCAAAGAGGAAUUAAAUUUAGGAAUGUCCCAAGACUUGAGGUCAGACUAGACAAUCACAAUGAUCCUUUCUGGCUUUAUAAUCUAUGAAUCUACGGUGUUAGGUAGUGACGCAAUGGCAUUGUAUAGCUCAUGUAAAAGCAGUCAGCAACAUGACUAUAAACACCAACAGUAAAACCAGCUAUGCACACGACAAAAGGAUAAAAACCAAAAAGGGAAAAAAAAUUGGAAAAAGUAAAAAUCCUGUUUAAUAAAAGCCUGCUAAUUACAAUUAAAUAACUUAAAGCUUAAGCUGAGCAUUUGUUAUACAUGGUAUGAGUAAUGUUUGUACUUUUGAACCUUUAAAAUAUUUAA